GACGAACGCUGGCGGCGUGCUUAACACAUGCAAGUCGAACGGAAAGGCCCUGCUUUUGUGGGGUGCUCGAGUGGCGAACGGGUGAGUAACACGUGAGUAACCUGCCCUUGACUUUGGGAUAACUUCAGGAAACUGGGGCUAAUACCGGAUAGGAGCUCCUGCUGCAUGGUGGGGGUUGGAAAGUUUCGGCGGUUGGGGAUGGACUCGCGGCUUAUCAGCUUGUUGGUGGGGUAGUGGCUUACCAAGGCUUUGACGGGUAGCCGGCCUGAGAGGGUGACCGGCCACAUUGGGACUGAGAUACGGCCCAGACUCCUACGGGAGGCAGCAGUGGGGAAUAUUGCACAAUGGGCGGAAGCCUGAUGCAGCAACGCCGCGUGCGGGAUGACGGCCUUCGGGUUGUAAACCGCUUUCGCCUGUGACGAAGCGUGAGUGACGGUAAUGGGUAAAGAAGCACCGGCUAACUACGUGCCAGCAGCCGCGGUGAUACGUAGGGUGCGAGCGUUGUCCGGAUUUAUUGGGCGUAAAGGGCUCGUAGGUGGUUGAUCGCGUCGGAAGUGUAAUCUUGGGGCUUAACCCUGAGCGUGCUUUCGAUACGGGUUGACUUGAGGAAGGUAGGGGAGAAUGGAAUUCCUGGUGGAGCGGUGGAAUGCGCAGAUAUCAGGAGGAACACCAGUGGCGAAGGCGGUUCUCUGGGCCUUUCCUGACGCUGAGGAGCGAAAGCGUGGGGAGCGAACAGGCUUAGAUACCCUGGUAGUCCACGCUGUAAACGGUGGGUACUAGGUGUGGGGUCCAUUCCACGGGUUCCGUGCCGUAGCUAACGCUUUAAGUACCCCGCCUGGGGAGUACGGCCGCAAGGCUAAAACUCAAAGGAAUUGACGGGGCCCCGCACAAGCGGCGGAGCAUGCGGAUUAAUUCGAUGCAACGCGUAGAACCUUACCUGGGGUUGACAUGGAUCGGGAGUGCUCAGAGAUGGGUGUGCCUCUUUUGGGGUCGGUUCACAGGUGGUGCAUGGCUGUCGUCAGCUCGUGUCGUGAGAUGUUGGGUUAAGUCCCGCAACGAGCGCAACCCUUGUUCACUGUUGCCAGCACGUUAUGGUGGGGACUCAGUGGAGACCGCCGGGGUCAACUCGGAGGAAGGUGGGGAUGACGUCAAGUCAUCAUGCCCCUUAUGUCCAGGGCUUCACGCAUGCUACAAUGGCUGGUACAGAGAGUGGCGAGCCUGUGAGGGUGAGCGAAUCUCGGAAAGCCGGUCUCAGUUCGGAUUGGGGUCUGCAACUCGACCUCAUGAAGUCGGAGUCGCUAGUAAUCGCAGAUCAGCAACGCUGCGGUGAAUACGUUCCCGGG
rnacentral:rRNA from 1 species